CUCUCUCUCACGCCCUCAAUUAGUUUCUAACCCAUUUUUCUACUCUCAAAAGCAAAACUCAGCUCAACACCACCAACCAUGGGAGUUUCUUGCAUGCAAUUCACUCAUUAGUCUCCUCGGGUCAAUUAGAGCAAGGUAAGAAUUUGAGUCUCUCACUUCUCUUCUUUCUCAAUUCACACCAUUCACCCUCUCACCCAUAUGGGUUUCAUUCUCCAACCUCUUUGGUUUGUGGCUUGCAUGUACCUAUUUUGAUGUUCUUGGAGCUGUCAUGUUUGGUUAGAAGCUAGAGAAUUAGUGGGAACUUCAAGGACUUGAUGAAUUAAUGGAAGGAGCAGAUUUGGGAAAAAGAAAGGAAUAUGAUAGUUGCAAGCUUUUCAACAACAAUUAUCAGUUGCUAUCAUCUUCAAUUAAAAGAUAAACAGGUUGCUGAGCAGAGAGCUAUGGACUGGUCGAAGUGAAGUGGCAUUGGAUGUUACUGUCAUUGUUUAUCUGGAUAUUCUAUUAAGUCGUUGUAUAAGUUAGUGUUAUAACGUGUUUGUAUUGACUGGUUAUAUAUGGCUCUGAUGUAAGUUUUAAGUUACAUUAUGACAGGAAUGUUAUCAUUCAGUUUAGUCAAUACUUGUAUAAUGACAAGGCCUUUAUGUGUUAUGGGUAUAUACAACGAGUUUAAUUCAGUAA